rnacentral:pre_miRNA from 1 species
UCUGACUUCAUUGCACUACUGUUCCUUCCAGCUAGCAGUGCAAUAGUAUUGUCAAAGC